AGCGAACGCUGGCGGCAGGCCUAAUACAUGCAAGUCGAACGGCUCUUCGGAGCAGUGGCGGACGGGUGAGUAACGCGUGGGAAUGUGCCCUUAGGUACGGAACAACACAGGGAAACUUGUGCUAAUACCGUAUGUGCCCUUCGGGGGAAAGAUUUAUCGCCUUUGGAGCAGCCCGCGUUGGAUGAGGUAAUUGGUGGGGUAAAGGCUCACCAAGCCGACGAUCCAUAGAUGGUCUGAGAGGAUGACCAGCCACACUGGGACUGAGAAACGGACCAGACUCCUACGGGAGGCAGCAGUAGGGAAUCUUGCGCAAUGGGCGAAAGCCUGGCGCAGCCAUGCCGCGUGUAUGAUGAAGGUCUGAGGAUUGUAAAAUACUUUCACCGGGGAAGAUAAUGACGGUACCCGGAGAAGAAGCCCCGGCUAACUUCGUGCCAGCCGCCGCGGUAACAC
rnacentral:rRNA from 1 species